GUAACAGGGAGAAGAAGGGUGUAAUCUGUUUGACGUAAGGGUGACAGGCUGUGUGCGUCCGUGUGUACAUGUAUGUGGGUGGGUGUGGGUGACUGGGUGUGUGUGGUGGGUCAGUGUCCGUAUGUAUGUGUGUAUUACCCUUGUGAGACCCGCUCUGUGUGUAUGUGUGUGUGUGUGUGUGUGUAUAGGGAGGGAGAGACACGUGAGUAAAGAAGGGAGGAUGGGGGUCAGGAAAGAGGAGGAGGAGGAAGAGGGCUGACUGGGUGGAGCUCUUAAAGAUAGUAUUCAGAAAUUACGUGUUUUCUUGACGGCUUCGCUGAGUCACUGUGUUAGGGAAGAGGAAGAGGAGGAGGAUGAGGAUAUAGAAGUGAUGUAAGCAUAGUGUUGCCACGGUGACGGUGGUGGUGGGCAUGAUACAGAUGCGGGAGCUGGAGUUUGUGCCCAAUGGAGACAUGCAGCUGGACAAAUUCUGUUGCUCAUUGCUCAGACUGGAGUUUACAUGUAUACCUCCUUCACCAUCAUUGGUGGACACUUCACCAUGAGUGAUGCUUGAGCUGUCACGGUGCUGCUGCUGCUGUUGUCUGCCAUCAUCCCCCUGACACAGACCACCCUGCAGACCACCUUCAUCCUGGGUGCCACACGUCACUGCUGCUACAACUCAGAGCAACUGGAGCGCAAACCAGGAAGGGAAAUGUGUUGCCACGGUGACGGUGGUGGUGGGCAUGACACAGAUGCAGGAGGUGGAGUUUGUGCCCGAUGGAGACAUGCAGGUGGACAAAUUGUGUUGGUCAUUGGUCAGACUGGAGUUUACAUGUGUACCUCCUUCACCAUCAUUGGUGGACACUUCACCUUGAGUGAUGCUUGAGCUGUCACGGUGCUGCUGCUGCUGCUGUCUGCCAUCAUCCCCCUGACACAGACCACCCUGCAGACCACCUUCAUCCUGGGUGCCACACGUCACUGCUGCUACAACUCAGAGCAACUGGAGCGCAAACCAGGAAGGGAAAUGGUAACUUCUCACUUAAUUUGUUGUUUAUUUGAGGGCCUAAUGACAGACACAUAAUGGAAUGAGUAUUUGUGAAUGUUUGUUUAUAUCUAGAUACAGCAUUCACAUAUCUUUUAAGUGCCACCUUCCAAAAACAAUGUCAGCCAGAAAAAUAACUGAUGAAUCUAAUUACAUUUCAAGUCAAAAGUUUUCCUUUAACCACUUUGCUCCAGAUGCUUAAAAACAUGCGUUGCUCACAUACAUGGUGUCACGUAGGCUCGUGAGUGGUAACUUAUCUAAUUUCUAAUAAUUUCUAAUAUAAUUUCUGUGUGUGUGUGUGUGUGUGUGUGUGUGUGUGUGUGUGUGUGUGUGUGUGUGUGUGUGUGUGUGUGUGUGUGUGUUUUAUGUAUGAGUGACACUGGCCAAGGGCAACAAAAA